AAGGUAGAGGUGCGGCUGCGAUCAGUACCUGUGCACGGGAAUGCCUGUUCCAAUGGUGUACAGCGAAAGGCAAGGCUGCCGAAGAACGGCUUUUUAGGCAGAUCUCGUUCUGGCUGUAUAUUCAACAGGUAUGCAGUUGUCAUCAUUGCGUAUGGUGGAGAGCUAUCGG
rnacentral:ncRNA from 1 species